AGCGAACGCUGGCGGCAGGCCUAACACAUGCAAGUCGAACGGAUCCUUCGGGAUUAGUGGCGGACGGGCGAGUAACACGUGGGAACGUGCCCUUUGGUUCGGAACAACUCAGGGAAACUUGAGCUAAUACCGGAUGUGCCCUUCGGGGGAAAGAUUUAUCGCCAUUGGAGCGGCCCGCGUCUGAUUAGCUAGUUGGUGAGGUAAAGGCUCACCAAGGCGACGAUCAGUAGCUGGUCUGAGAGGAUGAUCAGCCACAUUGGGACUGAGACACGGCCCAAACUCCUACGGGAGGCAGCAGUGGGGAAUCUUGCGCAAUGGGCGAAAGCCUGACGCAGCCAUGCCGCGUGAAUGAUGAAGGUCUUAGGAUUGUAAAAUUCUUUCACCGGGGACGAUAAUGACGGUACCCGGAGAAGAAGCCCCGGCUAGCUUCGUGCCAGCCGCCGCAGUAA
rnacentral:rRNA from 1 species